GAACUUGCCUCUUGGACUGGGACAACUGUUGGAAACGACAGCUAAUACCGGAUAUUAUGAGAUUCUCGCAUGAGAAACUUAUGAAAGCUAUAUGCGCCAAGAGAGAGCCUUGCGUUCCAUUAGCUAGUUGGUGGGGUAACGGCCCACCAAGGCGACGAUGGAUAGCCGGCCUGAGAGGGUGAACGGCCACAAGGGGACUGAGACACGGCCCUUACUCCUACGGGAGGCAGCAGUGGGGAAUAUUGGACAAUGGGCCACAAGCCUGAUCCAGCAAUUCUGUGUGCACGAUGAAGGUCUUCGGAUUGUAAAGUGCUUUCAGUUGGGAAGAAGAAAGUGACGGUACCAACAGAAGAAGCGACGGCUAAAUACGUGCCAGCAGCCGCGGUAAUACGUAUGUCGCAAGCGUUAUCCGGAUUUAUUGGGCGUAAAGCGCGUCUAGGCGGAAAAAUAAGUCUGAUGUUAAAAUGCGGGGCUCAACUCCGUAUUGCGUUUGGAAACUGUUUUUCUAGAGUACUGGAGAGGUGGGCGGAACUACAAGUGUAGAGGUGAAAUUCGUAGAUAUUUUGUAGGAA
rnacentral:rRNA from 1 species